rnacentral:lncRNA from 1 species
CUUUCUUUCCGCGCCGAUAGCGCUCACGCAAGCAUGGUUAACGUCCCUAAAACCCGCCGGACUUUCUGUAAGAAGUGUGGCAAGCACCAACCCCAUAAAGUGACACAGUACAAGAAGGGCAAGGAUUCUCUGUACGCCCAGGGUAAGAUGGAUUCCGCAUAAUUUGGUGUUAAUGUGACAUUUGUGUUGUAGAAUAACAUACGAGUCCGGGUCUCUCUCCCUCCACGCCUGGCUUGAGCGUUAAUAUUUCUGCUGCGAAAUUAAGAUAAAACCUGUAAGACUUACUUGCUGAUCUUCAGUAUUUUAUAACAAAUACCAAUUCGUUUUCCCAGGAAAGCGGCGUUAUGACAGGAAGCAGAGUGGCUAUGGUGGGCAAACUAAGCCGAUUUUCCGGAAAAAGGUGAGUGGUAGUUACUAUUUGACGUUUCCCAGUUAAUUGCCGUAAGGAUAUGCACUUGUCUCUAGUCCACACACUUCAUGAUAUAGGUAUAGCGUUAGUUUAGCGAAGUUUUCACUGCACUGAUAUAUCUAGUAGGUGAUGGAGCUG